rnacentral:lncRNA from 1 species
AACUGAACUCAUUACCAUAAAGAUGCUGAUUUACUCAUAAAGAUGCUUCAGGCCAGACCACACAGAAUGUCGUCCAGCUGUUAUCCUGCUCCCUUUCAAGAUGAUGUCAGAUGCCUCCUUCCUGGUGCCAGGCUCCCAGUUUCCAAGUCUCCUGCCACAGAGCUCCAUGACUCUCCCAGUCUCCGCUUCCCUGCAGUCAGAUGUAAUGAUCUCACAGUCCUGACUAAACUUCAGUUCUUCUGCCUCCACCAGCAUAGUGGUGUCCAUCAGCAAACAGCCUUGCUAAAGCAGAGCCUGGUCUCAAAACAAAGGCAAGUGGAAAAGGCCCCACAACAAAAUAGUUAUCUAUGUAAGUUUGUCUGUCUGCCUCCCACAAAGGCUGAGUGAUGCCUGCUUCUCUGACUCCAGAACCUCUCUCCACACUGUCCUGUGCCCAGUGGCAGCUCCUGACCACUGACUGCAUCCCUGGG